AUACUCUUAGCUCAGUUGGUAGAGCAUGAGACCCUUAAUCACGUGGUGGCGAGUUCGAGCCUUGGGCAAAAGAUU